AUCAUGUUCCAGCAUAUUAUGUGAGUAUUCAAUCAAAGAAGUUAGGUUGUUCUUCAGAAUUGGCUCUCUCCUAAAGGUCAAAAC
rnacentral:lncRNA from 1 species